UCGCGCUCCGCCAGCAGCCUCUCGCUGCUCUCAUUUGAGUGCGCGGCUCGCGGCACACACACACACACUUUUUCUCUCUCUCCUUCUCCUCUUUUUCUCCCGCAUUCGGACUCCAACCGAGAGGGGAUUUAACACACGCGGCCAGCUGCGGAGGACGUCCCGAGCCCUUAAAAUGCGAGAUGUUUCUCCUAGCUGCUCCCGCAGACAGGAAUCCACUCGCAGAGACGAGAGCCACGCUCUCUCCCAGGAGAGGAGUACAAAGGCCAGUCUGCACGCGGCAGAUGCAAAACCAAGUCCAUCUGCUGCAGGCUUCCCAUCGCCACACGGAGAUUGAAAAGUGAGGGGAGCGUUCGCGUAGACGCCGCUGGAACGUGAGCGAGGAACCAGCUGUUGGGCUUUGGACCGCAAGGUCAAUGAGGACAAACAAUUCCAGCAGCGGCUCUCGAGCGCAUGCAGAAGAAAGUGUCGGCUGAGGGGGGAUGGACUCGUGCAGUGGCAGAGCUGGUGUCUCCGAGCGCUGGCAUAAUUUCCAUGGCAACCACUCUAACUAUUAAUUUUCAAUUAAAGCAGACACAAAACGCCCUGCCCCGAGCCUCCAGAAGGUGUCAAGAGGGGGAAACUGGGCCUUUUUGGAGCCAAGACACCAUUGGGCUCAUUCAUAGUGACAAAAAUCACACCACUGAACAACACUUAGCAUCUAAGCCCUGUUUUUACUUCACAAUCACACCAGUGAGAACACUAAAACCACUAUGAAACUCAUGCAUGCUAACCAUUAGUGAAUAAUCGAGUGAUAUUUGAACUGUUAUGUCCCUUGGUCGAUUAACAGAGGUGUUACCUCCCCCUUGUGUCAGCUUUAAAAUCUGACAGGAUUGUCAGUUGCUACUAAAAAGAAUUUUUAUUUUUUUUUGGGUGAAUUUUAGUAAGAAAUAAGUGUGAAAUAAGGUGUUUGAAUCUAAUUUGCAAUCUAUGCAUAAAGUUGAACACAAAAGUCUGAUAUCACAAACAAAAAUAUGAAUAAUUUUUCCAUUGCAAUUUAUACUAUUUGUGACCCUGGACCACAAAACCAGUCAUAAGGGUCAAUUUUGUUAACAUUGAGAUUUAUACAUCAUCUGAAAUCUAAAUAAAUAAGCUUCCCAUUGAUGUAUGGUUUGUUAGGAUAGGACGAUAUUUGAGGAAAAUCUGAGGGUGCAAUAAAAAAAACAAAAACAAAAAAAAAAAAAUUGCCAUUAAAGUUGUCCAAAUGAAGUUCUUAGCAAUGCAUAUUAUUUAUCAAAAAUUAAGUUUUGAUAUAUUUACGGAACAAAAUUGACAAAACAUCUUUAUGAUUAUGACCUUUACUUAAUAUCCAAAAGAUUUUUGGCAUAA